rnacentral:rRNA from 1 species
GGAUGCCUAGGCAUGUGUUGAACGACAGGUUAGCGGAUCAAAAACGAAACUAACAAACCAGCUAGCAACUAGCUCUGUCAACAACAUGGGGAACUGAAACAUCUUAGUACCCAUAGGAAAAUAUAUCCAAGAAUAUUCCGUUAGUAGUGGUGAGCGAAAGUGGAUAAGGCUAACAACCCAGCACCCUCCUCCCUUGCCUUCAACAGGAAGAGCAAGGGCACAACAAAGGUGCUGGACAACUAAGUAGGACGGGACACGUCACCCUGUCUGAAGAGAGGAGUCCCACCUCCUAAGCCUAAACACCAACACAUGACCGAUAGUGAACAAGUACCGUGAGGGAAAGGUGAAACAGAGCCUGAACAAGGCAGUGAAACAGAUCCUGAAACCUGAUGCUGACAAACAGUCGAAGGACACGCAAUGUCUCCCGACAUACCUUUUGCAUAAUGGGUCAACAAGUUAGUUCCAUGAGCAUAGCUUAAAACGAUAAGAGGCGUAGCGAAAGCAAGUUCCAACCAGCACCCAACCAGUUCAUGGAACAAGACCCGAAACCGAGUGAUCUAACCACGAACAGAUUGAACCUUGACCAACGUUGAGGGGAGGAUCGAACUCUUGCAUGUUGCAAAAUGUUGAGAUGAUUUAUGGUUAGGGGUGAAAGGCCAAUCAAACUCGGAGAUAGCUGGUUCUCUGCGAAACCUAUUUAGGUAGGUCGUUGGCACGAAGGGUGAUAGGGGUAGAGCACUGGACGAUCCUCGAGCAUUCGCUCCAACCAUCGACCAAACUCCGAAUACUGUCAACCCAUACCCAACAGCCACUCCAUGAGCGCUAACGUCCUUGGAGGAGAGGGAAACAACCCAGACUUCAAGAUAAGGUCCCCAAGUCCAAGCUAAGUGAAAAGAAGUGAUUGACCAACGACAGUUAGGAUGUAGGACCAGAAGCAACCAUCAUCUAAGGAAAGCGUAACAGCUCACUAACCUAGGUCAAUUGCACUGAAGAUGUAACGGGCCUAAGCUUGGCACCGAAGCUGAAGGUGAUACCAAACGAUGUAUCACAGUAGCAGAGCAUUCCGUUCCCCAACGAAGGCAAGUUGUGAGACUUAGCUGGAGGGACCGGAAGUGAUAAUGUUGACAUGAGUAACGAAAAUGAUAGCGAAAAACUAUCACGCCAAAAAACCAAGGUUUCCCAUUUAAAGUUAAUCUGAGUGGGGUUAGCCGGUGCCUAAGGUAAAGCGGUAACGCAUAGCCGAUGACAAUCACGUCCAAACAUUCGUGAGCCAUCAUGAGCACUUACCUCUCCCUUCCCCAUCAUGGUAGAUGAGGGUUGAGGAAGGUAACGAGAAACAACUCAUGAGACUUUGACCGUACCAAAACCGACACUGGUGGUUGGGUAGAGCAUACCAAGGCGUUGAGGAAAUUAUGCUGAAGGAACUCGGCAAACUGCAUGCGUAACUUCGGGACAAGCAUGACCUGCACGGAUCAACCGUGUCAGGUGUAACAUGAAAGGAGGAAGCGACUGUUUAUCAAAAACACAAGACUCUGCAAAAUCGAAAGAUGAAGUAUAGGGUCUGACGCCUGCCCAGUGCUGACAAGCGAACCUUCGAUCGUAUCAAAUGCGAUUGAAAUAAACAUCAGUAAACGGAGGCUGUAACUAUAACGGUCCAAAGGUAGCGUAAUCCCUUGUCGGGUAAGUUCCGACCUGCACGAAUGGCGUAACGACUUCCUCGCUGUCUCCAGCAUAAGCUCAGUGAAAUUGAAAUCCCCGUGAAGAUGCGGGGUAGCUGCGGCAAGACGGAAAGACCCCGUGCACCUUUACUGCAACCAUGUAUUGAUGAUAAGCGAUAGGAGUGUAGAGUAGAUGGUAGGCCAUGACAGGCACCUUUGCCUUAGCCCACAAUGAAACGCCAUCAUCCCCUCGCCCAACAUCUUACUCCGAUGUUGCCAACCUCAUCCGAAGACAUUGCAUGGUGGGUAGUUUGACUGGGACGGUCGCCUCCCAAAGAGUAACGGAGGCGUGCAAAGGUAAACUCAGAACGUUUGGAAAUCGUUCGUAGAGCGCAAUGGCAUAUGUUUGCUUGACUGCAAGACGAACAUGUCGAGCAGGGACGAAAGUCGGCCAUAGUGAUCCGAUGGUACCGUGUGGUAGGGCCAUUGCUUAACGGAUAAAAGGUACGCCGGGGAUAACAGGCUAAUAACCCCCAAGAGCCCUUAUCAACGGGGUUGUUUGGCACCUCGAUGUCGACUCAUCGCAUCCUGGAACUGAAGGAGGUUCCAAGGGUAUGGCUGUUCGCCAUUCAAAGCGGUACGUGAGUUGGGUUCAGAACGUCGCAAGACAGUUCGGUCCCUAUCUGCCGUGGACAAAAGACCUUUGACGAUUCUCAUCCCCAGUACGAGAGGACCAGGAUGACCAUACCAAUGGUGUUCCCGUUGUCCCAAAGGCAUGGCAGGAUAGCUAAGUAUGGAUAGAUAACUGCUGGAAGCAGCUAAGCAGGAAGCUACAUCGAAGAUGAUGGUCUACUAAGGAUGGUGAACGACUAACACCUUGAUAGACUAGGAGUGUAAGUGUGGUAACACAUUAAGCUAGCUAGCACUAAUAUCCGAAAGCUGUUCGAA